UGAUUGUAAUACCAUCAUGUCCAUCUCAUGGUCUGUGAAAAGGAUACAUGUACAUUCUCUCCUAUAUGUUAGGAAGGUUUGAGUCUCUUCAUUAUCUUCUCUUUGAUGUCAUCCUCUUAAUUAAAUGAAUGAGACCUGACAUCCUCCGGAAAGGAACAGUAUUGGUCCCCUAGUAUCUCUUGUAUUGAAGAACCAGGAGACCACAUGUGACGGCCAACCUCUCCCUCGUCCCUCAAGAUCCCCUCGUCACCAUACAAGUAAGGAUGAGGAGUGGGUGGAGUGAGGGGAGGUGUGGUAGUUGUGAUGAUGAAAGCUAUGCUGCCUCCUGAAGGUUCCCUGUCAUGGACUGGUGAUAUAUUAUGUAGUGGGUCAAUAUUACAGUGGGACCCAUGUCUACCAGGAGACUAUUAGACCACACCCAGGAGGUCUGUGAGAUUCACUGGUCAACAAAUCAUCAGCAACUGGUGUCAGGAGGAAAUGAUAAUAUAGUUAUGGUAUACUGUUACUGUUCUUAUGGGGUACCCAAUGUAUGCUCCUUUUCAUCAAAGAGGAAGAAUUACUCUAACAACUAGAUCAGUAGCAUUCCUGAGGAUAAUGACUGUUGCUAUGACAACUGUACAUGUAUGUCCA